CACGUAGGGCGCAAGCGUUGUCCGGAAUUAUUGGGCGUAAAGAGCUCGUAGGUGGUUUGUCGCGUUGUUCGUGAAAACUCACAACUCAAUUGUGGGCGUGCGGGCGAUACGGGCAGACUGGAGUACUGCAGGGGAGACUGGAAUUCCUGGUGUAGCGGUGGAAUGCGCAGAUAUCAGGAGGAACACCGGUGGCGAAGGCGGGUCUCUGGGCAGUAACUGACGCUGAGGAGCGAAAGCGUGGGGAGCGAACAGG
rnacentral:rRNA from 1 species